UGAUCCGACCGGCGCCUAACCUUAUUUUUCGAGGCGAGAAGCUGGGGAAGGGAGACCAACAAAGGGGAAGCAAGGGCCAGCUAGGGGGACCAAGCUAAGGGAUACCAGGGGAAUACCGGGGCUACUAGGGGAACCUAGAUCCACGGAGGAUGCCGAAGCACGCUCCAACAGACGCAAGCACACAGCACUCUCAAGGUUGUUACCUACAUGUGGAAAACUGAAUAUUCCACACCACCUAGCUAGGCCAGGGAUCUUCAACCUGUGGCUCUAAAGCCACAUGUGGCUCUCCGGCCCCUCCACUGUGGCUCUUAUAAGACCAAGCUCUAGACAGGUUUUGUAGCAGCAGGGGAAAAGGGGCCCUUUGAACUGAAAAGGAUGCUGACCCCUGACUUAAGCCACAAGGUCAACACAAAACAAAUACAGUUAUUGACAGAAAAAUGGAAUGGUUUCUUUCAAGGCUACAGGUGAAGGUGAAUGGAUGCCCCUGUCACUCCAUUUCCCAGGUCAUCAUAGAACUCCCACACACAUGGAGCUCUCCUGCAGUAUGCAGUGUAAUGCCCCAGACCAUCAGUGCUCAUCUUUCCAUGGAAAACAAUUAAUCCCCUCAAAGUGAACGACUUUCCUUGGAGAACCAGGUUGGAGGGAAAUUCAUUCAGUAGAAAUUCUGUUUGGUUUGCAAGAGAUGGAUUGGAGAGUGGCCUGAGGCAGGUAUACUCAGGUAGGCCAAGUCCUGCUUCCACAGCCGUGCCAAGAUGAGCCAUACCAGACUCUUUGAGGACAGAGAUGGCAGGAGAAACAAAUGGUACUUCCCUUGUCAUCCCUUUGCUGAGGUAGCAGUGCUGUGAAGAGCAGUGUUUGGUUUGUUGGGUCACACCAUCUGUGGCAAUGGCUUUCACCAGCUGCAGGACUGGGUUUUCACUGUCCUUCAGAACAGCAUUUUGAAAUGUGGGGCUGUCACAGAAGGCACAACGUAAGCACUGAAAAAAAUGCAUCAAAUGCACAGAUUCAUCUGCAUGGAGCCAUUCGGUACAUGGAGAGAGGCAAGAAGUCCUCUUCCUUUUUUUGGGUGGAACAGCUAGGCCCCUCCAGUUCUCAACUGCAUCUUCAUCAGCCUGGAGAAUGUUUGUGGCAGCAUCAGAUCCCACAAACGGAACAAAUCCGCAUAUUUCCCUCGAUGAAGGAAAGAUGACGAGCAAUGAAGCGAUUGACUCGAACAGGCAAG